rnacentral:ncRNA from 1 species
GCAAUAGAGGUGCGGAUACUAUCAGUACCUGUUUGGAGGCAGCGAAGCCAGGGAAGAGCAGGGAAAGGAGGAGCCGCCGAAAUGUACUGCUUUCGCAGGCAGUAUGUUGGGGUGCAGUCGAACAGGCUGCACACUCUCACCAAACGGUGGAGGCGCUAUUG